AGCAGCCGCGGUAAUUCCAGCUCCAAUAGCGUAUAUUAAAGUUGUUGCAGUUAAAAAGCUCGUAGUUGAAUUUCGGGAUCAAGUCGUCGGUCGUGCUCAGGUACGUACUGGCGUCAUUGAUUUCUCCCUUCUGACGAACCAUGAUGUCAUUAACUUGGUGUCAUGGGAAAUCAGGACUGUUACUUUGAAAAAUUAGAGUGUUUAAAGCAGGCUCACGCUUGAAUACAUUAGCAUGGAAUAAUGAAAUGGGACGUUCGAUCCUAUUUUGUUGGUUUUAGGAUCAACGUAAUGAUUAAUAGGGAUAGUUGGGGGCAUUAGUAUUCAAUUGUCAGAGGUGAAAUUCUUGGAUUUAUUGAAGACUAACUACUGCGAAAGCAUUUGCCAAGGAUGUUUUCAUUAAUCAAGAACGAAAGUUAGGGGAUCGAAGACGAUCAGAUACCGUCGUAGUCUUAACCAUAAACUAUGCCGACUAGGGAUCGGAUGAUGUUAAUUUUUAAUGA
rnacentral:rRNA from 1 species